rnacentral:rRNA from 1 species
ACGCUCGACACCUACGGGAGGUAGCAGUAGGGAAUCUUCCACAAUGGGCGCAAGCCUGAUGGAGCAACACCGCGUGAGUGAAGAAGGGUUUCGGCUCGUAAAGCUCUGUUGUUGGAGAAGAACGUGCGUGAGAGUAACUGUUCACGCAGUGACGGUAUCCAACCAGAAAGUCACGGCUAACUACGUGACAGCAGCCGCGGUAAUCUGAGCGGGCUGGCAAGGC